AGAAAUUUAGGUUAAGCAAUAGACCAAGGGCCUUCAAAGCCCUCAGCGGAAGUGAAAACCUUCCAAUUUCUG
rnacentral:tRNA from 1 species